AGAACGAACGCUGGCGGCAUGCCUAAUACAUGCAAGUCGAACGAACUCUUCGGAGUUAGUGGCGCACGGGUGCGUAACGCGUGGGAAUCUGCCCCUUGGUUCGGAAUAACAGUUGGAAACGACUGCUAAUACCGGAUGAUGACGAAAGUCCAAAGAUUUAUCGCCAAGGGAUGAGCCCGCGUAGGAUUAGCUAGUUGGUGAGGUAAAGGCUCACCAAGGCGACGAUCUGUAGCUGGUUUGAGAGGACGACCAGCACACUGGGACUGAGACACGGCCCAGACUCUACGGGAGCAGCAGUGGGAAUUUGGACAAUGGGGGAAACCCUGAUCCAGCCAUCCCGCGUGUGCGAUGAA
rnacentral:rRNA from 1 species